GGGGAUGUAGCUCAGCUGGUAGAGCACCUGCUUUGCAAGCAGGACGUCGGGGGUUCGAUUCCCUUCAUCUCCACCA
rnacentral:tRNA from 1 species